rnacentral:lncRNA from 1 species
GUGCGCAAAGGCACCAAUAAUCGUCAAGAUUCUGUCUAGGUGGUUAUCAAGAAGAGUGAAGAAAAGAAGAGAAGGGAGAAGAUUGUCACAUCCCUAGUUUUGAUAAUGCCAAGUGCUAGUAUCUGGUGUUGCAUCAUGUUUAAAUUCAAGGAAUUUGAACUGAGGAAAUUAGAAAGCCUCAAAACUUUUUAAAAGAAGGGCAAGAACCCUUUAAAUUGCAUUCAGUGAUUCCAAAAUUCCCUAAAAAUCAUUCUGGUAAUUUUGGCAAGAGAUAUAUACCAAACCAAAAUUCUGGAACAUUUUUAUGGAAUAUUUUGGAACAUUGAAUUUAAAUCAUAUUGUAUUUGGAUUUGAAGUUAUAUUCAUAAUAUAUAAUGAUUAUAGUUUCAAAAAGCCUGUGAUAUUUUAUGUAUAUGUGGAGAAGUCCAUUAUGUGACAUAAAAAUAUCCAAGGGAACUUUGGCACUGUUUUCAAGUUGUUUAAAUUUGAAUUCAGUGGCAAAAGAAAUAUUAAAGAAAACAAAACAAAAAAUAUAAAAUAGAGCAGAAGAACUUACCUCGCAGCCCACCUGGCCCAAUUCCAGCGACCCAGCCCACCGCAGCCUCCACCGUCUUCAACCUCCUGCCAGUAGGCAGGAGGGCGUUUGGCCACCGCGCGCCGGCACGCGCCCGAGCCACCUCCUGCUUCCGCCGCUUCUGGAGCCAGCCCCGAGUGCCACGCACUCCCCCUCGCCCCCCUGCACCUCUCCCUUCUCCCCCUGGACCCCAUCCUCUCCUCUGCUCUCUCUCCCUCUCUGCCCGAGCGGAGCUCGUCGCCACCGACGCCGUUACUGCGGCCACAACCACCCCCUCGCCCCUCUGACGUGCCCAAGAGCCCCGAGACAUCGUCCUCGUCCUCUGCACGGAUCCGAGCAGCGCGGGAUGCCCCGCUCCGCCGACAACAGGCUCGACUUCGUCCUCGACCGCCGCCGAUGGUCGCCGUCGAUUCUCCGUCACCCGUGCGCCCCCGAGCUCGUCUAUGACCCCUUCUAAUGCGCUGUGAGAUUCUACGCCUUUCCCCCUCCUCCCCGAGCUCGUUCCUGUCCUCUAGCUAUGCCCGCCGCCGUACCCGAGCGCCGCCGUCCGCCAUGGUCGUUGCUCUCGCAGCCACCGUACAUCUCCGCUCGAGCUUAAGCCUUCGUCGUGCUCCUGAAGCAACGACGAGUCCAACGCAGCCCCUAGCUAGCUCCCCCAUGCACUGGAACCAAGCGGCUGCCCAUGCCCGAACUCCGGCCACCGCAUCACUGGACGCCGUGCUCAACUCCGGCCACCCCGCCUCCGUUGUUUGCUCCAUCGGAUCCGCGUCACUUCCCGGAGCACGUAGGUGCAAGUGGCUCUUCAAACCGGGCCCCGUAGCGAAAGUCCGACGGCCUCCGCUGCGGAUUUGGUCGCCGGCGUUUACACGCCGGUGGUGAUGACGUGGCACCAUCAUUAGGGCUUAAUUGCAUUUAGUUUAAUCACACUAGCCACUGACAUCUAGGCCCCACCAGCUAAAUAACCUCGGGUUAUUUUCUUAACUAGAUUUAGUUAAAACCUGUGGGCCCACGUGUCAGCUUUGACCAUGCUGACAUGGCCUUUGACUAGGCCCACCCGUCAGUGACCCAAGCCAGCACUAUGACACUGACCAGUGGGACCCACUGGUCAGGUUUGGCCGGAUCAGGUUGACCCUGUUGACCCUGUGACAUCACACUGACGUCAGGCUGACGCAGUAAAUAUUUUCUGGGAUUUAAAUAAAUCAGAAAUGAUUUAUAAAUUCCAGAAAAUGUUUAAAACUUGUAAAAAUCAUAGGAAUUCAACCGUAACUCCAAAUUAAAUAAUUUAUAUAUGAAAAAUGAUCAGAAAAAUCCAAACUAUCCAUCUGUACCAUUUUCAUGCAUGUUAGAACAACUUAUGAUUACUGUUUAGGACAAUUCAAUUAAAUGGCAUUUAAAUAACCACAUGUGGAGUUUGAAUUUGAAUCUUGGAUUCAAACCAACUCCAUUUAACCUACUGCUAGAUGCAUUAGCUCAAAUCAUAGCAUAUUGCCAUGUCAUGAUCAUGCAUCAUAUUGUGCAUUGCAUUGAUUGUGUUUCUUCCUUGUUUGUUGGUGUUUGUCCCCUCUCGAUAGACGUGGUUCCGACGAUGAGUUCGAUGACACCAAUGAAGAACUAUAUUAUCUUUAGAAGUGCCAGGCAAGAAAAACCCCCUUGUUCAUUCCGAUACAGUCCCACUCUCUCGCUCCUGCUCUCUUUUACUGCAUUAGGACAACAACGACAUAUCUGUUACAUGUUGCGGUAGCUGAACCCCUUUAUCCUUUGCAUGACCUGUCAUUGCCACAGUAAAUAGAUGAAACCCACUAGUAUGAGUAGGAGUUGUUUGAGCCCUGAUGUGCCUACUCAUUCAUGCUUGUUUUUCAUGCCUGCUACUGCUUAGAGUUGAGUCAGGUCUGAUUCAUCGGGGAUGAAUUGGAGGUGUGUAAACAUGUCCUACUGUGUGUGAGCUAAGUGUGUGAACACGAUUUGGUAAAGGUAGCGGUGAGAGGCCAUGUAGGAGUACAUGGUGGGUUGUCUCAUUGAAGCCGUCCUUAGGAACUGAGUUCUGUGUUUGUGAUCCAUGAACAGUUACUACCACACAUUGGGCUCUAGUCACUCCAAGCUCUCUCGACUUAUUAAUCAACUUGAUCUCUGUCCAGGAGUUGCAACUAGUUUCUGGUGUUUGUAGGUAGUGUUAGUAGUCUACCAAGUGGCACCCGGUACAGGUGGGCUUGGGACAGACUAGGUACAGUGGCCUGGUGUACCAAGUGGCACCCGGAUGGUGGGCUUGGGAACCCUGCACACAUCAUUUGGGGCCGUGAGCGACACCCCGGACGGAUCUCCUUGCGGAUGGAACCCGAAUAGGCGAUAAACCUGGACGAGAGACUUAUGUGGUUAGUCAGGUCGUGGCCGACACCCUCGCUGGGCUUCCGCUUGAAGGUUGCCGAGUACAUGUCGUGUAAACGACGGUAAGUGGUGAGAGCGUGUGUGAAGAAGUACACCCCUGCAGGGUUAUAUGAUCUAUUCGAAUAGCCGUGUCCGCGGUAAAGGACUUCUGGGUUGCCUGUACAGUUCAUAGACAAGUGAAAGUGGAUACUCUAAAAUGCGCAAGAUAAGCGUGAGUGCUAUGGAUGGCGUUCUCGUAGGGAGACGGGAGCAGAUCCAUAGUGGUGUAUUGAUAUGGUGAAUAUGUGGACUCGUUUGCGCCACCUCAAAAGAGUUACUUGCAGUCGUAGUUCAGGAUAGCCACCGAGUCAAAGCUGGCUUGCUGCAGUCAAACUCCACCACCCCCUUUGUUGACAAUGAUGCAUAUGUAGUUAGUUCUGAUGUAAGUCUUGCUGGGUAAAUUUGUACUCACAUUGCUUAAUUUAUGUUUUUGCAGAGAGACUUCAGUCUCGCUAGUAGUACCGCGUGGACUUCGACGUUUAGCUUGUUACCUCAGCUACGAUCUUGUGCCCUCGGCAGGAUCUGAUAGACAGUCAGGCUUCUUAGCCUUUUUCAUUUGUAGAUGUCUGUACUCAGACAUGUUAAGCUUCCGCUUGUGCUUGACUUGUGUGCUCUGAAUGCUGGGUCAUGAGACCCAUGUUUGUAAUAUCUCGCUCCUCGGAGCCUAUUGAAUAAAUACUUGAGUUGUAGAGUCAUGUUGUGAUGCCAUGUUGUAUUUGCACAUAUCGAGCAUAUUGUGUGUAUGAUAUUGAAAUGCUUGGUAUGUGUGGGAUCUGACUAUCUAGUUGUUUAUCCUGAGUAGCCUCUCUUACCGGGAAAUGUCUCCUAGUGUUUCCACUGAGCCAGGGUAGCUUGCUACUGCUCCGGAACACUUAGGCUGGCCGGCAUGUGUCCUUCUUCGUUCCUGUGUCUGUCCCCUCGGGGAAAUGUCACGCGAUGAAUUCCGGAGUCCUGUUAGCCCGCUACAGCACGGUUCACCGGAGUCCUGCUAGCCUAGUGCUACAGCCUGGAUUCACUCGCUGAUGACCGACACGUUCGAUGCUGGGUCAUGGAUGCCUGUCCCUGUAAGUUUGUGCCACUUUGGGUUUACGACUAGCCAUGUCAGCCCGGGCUCCUUAUCAUAUGGAUGCUAGCGACACUAUCAUAUACGUGUGCCAAAAGGCGCAAACGGUCCCGGGCAAAGGUAAGGCGACACCCGUGGGGAUACCGUGCGUGAGGCCGCAAAGUGAUAUGAGGUGUUACAUGCUAGAUUGAUGUGGCAUUGAGUCAGGGUCCUGACAGCUUUGGUAUCAGAGCUUGACUGCCUGUAGGAUUACCAAGCGAAACUGGUCGAAGUUGAGUCUAGAAAUUCUUUAGUUAUAUAAGGGAAUUGAUUGUGGGAUGGAACGUAAGGCUCUUUUUACUCCUUAUACCCUAUGCCUUCUGAUCCGAGUCAUCAUAACUUUUCUACGGGGUUAAGGAACUAGGCUAUCUCUUCUUUCUAUCAGGAUCACGUGUUACUAAUCUGUAGACUUGUAAGAUUGUUGGGUUUAAGCCUCAGUUCAGUUUCUAUCUUCUGUAUGUUAACUGUUGAUCUCGAAAUCUUGAUAUUGUGCUUCUGAGUGGCUAUGCCACCAUUUUUGUAGCAUGUAUCAAACAUUUUGAGCAUUUACAGCCGUUAUGCUGUCCGAGUCAUCCCAGGUUUCUAAAUAGUCUGAAGCAUUUGCAAAAUCCCUUCCUCCUGUUCCGAUGUCCUUUGGGCCAGAUUAACCACACUAAUUGGUGAGUUGAGGUACUCUGUUGCCUUAACAUAUAUGUCCGAGCUAUUAUUAUGACCUUAGAUGUCUUAGGGGAUCAUCUAGUAGUCUAGCCAUGUUUUGUGGUCCCAGUGUGAUGACUCUGGCCAUCAUUCUCGAAAGCAUCCUGUGAUGCCACUUAGUAGUAGGUAUUCCACUUCUGGGUUUUGAACCCGAGAUUCACCCCAUUUACCUCAUGUUGAUAGUGUUUGCUAGUUCCUUUAGGAAAUUAGCAACCUUUGCAUUAGUCCUCGAGGUCCAUGGUAUUUUCCUUCUUCCAAAUACUAUGAACCAUUCUUGGCAGGAGUUCUUUUGAACCAAAAGAUCACAACCAGAGUGCUCUUGAUGAGUUCUCCAUUCUAUAUUGUGAAUCUUCCAGUUCUACCUCUCUGCAUGGAUUACCCGGAAGAAACUUGUUGAACUCGUUCGACAUUCUAAUCCAUGCGUCCACAACUCAGAAAAUUGUAUGUUCUUUUGAGUUGUCCCUCCGUAGUUGUAUCCUGACCCCCGUCUAUCAAUUGAUAGUCAAGAGUAUGCGUGCAUUUGUUCAUCGAUGCCUAUUACUCUUGUGGUCCGUCAAGCCAUUCUAUUCUGGAAUGACUAGGAGAAACAAACUCCAGUACCUCAUCCUUAUCUAGUAUUUGGUCAAAGCAGUUGUAUUCCGCAGAUCAAAAUGCCAGCCCAGCUUUUGAAUUCUGCUCCACCUUGGAGUAUUACCAUCUUAUACCAAGAAUAUCAUGGGAAUUGCACACCAUCCUAUGAACUCUUGAUGCAGUGAUACUCUCUCCAUCAUUAUUCAUUUCUCGGUUCCUGUGUUGUUGCAACCGGAAUGUCGACAAGUGAAUCGUGAUGUGUGAAAUCAGUACUCCUAGCAACUCCGUUGCUUGGUAGUUAAAUGGACAACAACCUCAUUCAUAGCGUGUUGAUUUUUGAAUCAUCAUUCUAAGAUUGAUCAUGCUGCCUAGUCCUUAUCUCUGGUGCACUCCUGAUCAAUGAGUUAGGAUUAUCCAAUCCCUUGCUUAUUUCACCAUAUCAUCUUGCCCUGAAAAGCAAGAUUGUUCUCGAGCUUAGUGACAUAUCGGUGGUUCAUGAUUUUCCAUAUAUCUUAUCGGAAGUAUUACCAGGUUGUCACCUGACCGCCAUGCUGAGCUCAUGAUCAAGUUGGUUUCUUGUAAACCACCCCUUCUCCAAGAAUCCGUGUUGGAUACCCCUGAGCUAGUUGGUUAAGCUAAACGACAACUUGGAGAGUUGGAAGAUAAAAGCUUACCUAACCUAGUUCGUUUCAAAGGGAUAUCCUGGUGUUGGUGUGUUAGUUGAAGAAAGGUGAUAUCUUCAUUGAUUGGUCCCUGUGAUCAGUUGUUGGACCUAUUGUCUUAUAAAAACUUUGAUUUGAGUAUGGGCUAUCGUCAAAUCAAUUUAGAACCAACGAUGUUUGUAAUGUUGUCUUACUCGCGGUUAUUCCUCGAGCAUACACCAUUACAUCCUUUGGGUCUGACCAAUGCUAUGUCCUUGCUCACAUAAUUAUGGAAUUCCAUUUAUAUGGUCAUCUGGAUGGAUUGUUGUUGAGCCCAUCUGCAGUAUUUUGUCUUCUCCAUGAUUCAUGUUGAACAUCUAAGUUAGCAUUGGAAACUUUUGUAAGCAUUAUCUUCGUGAUCCAUUCAUGAAGCAUAUGUUUGGAUCAAAGAAGUGACUUCCUCCAAUUUAUGUGCAUUUGGAGCAAGUUGCGCCGUGGAUUCGAGAAAGUCAAUGUUGCUUCCUGUGGAAUCAUCCCAAGUCAGUCAUGCAUACGUGUGAAGUAUUCUGUGGUCUGGAGACUUGCAACCUUCAUUCCAUAUGUGUCCCGAGCACACCAAGCCACUGACUGAUUUGUUCAAGGAGAAGAAGUUCCUUCAUAAGAGCUAACCCGGACUUAUGUAGGGACUUCGAGAUCCUCGAUGAUGGUUCCCAACCUGAACUCGGUAGUGUUUUAUUAUAAGACUACUGCGUGGUCAUGCUUGUCUGGGACAGCGUGUUCACAUGUGUGUAGCAGAACCAGCUCAUGUCUUGGAGCUUGCUAUCGUAGUUCAUUUCCCGAGAAUCUCGCAACGUCAUCUCGUCGAAUUGUGUUGCAAACUUUCAUUUUUCUUCCUAGACUCGAUGAGUCUGGAAUAUCCUGACACCAACCAGAUCUGAAUCUCAGGCAGAUAUGAUGGUUGGAACAUUUCCCAAGAACUAUAAUAUUGGUCCCUCGAUAACCGGUAAAGUGGAUGUCGUGGCCAGCACCACCCAGCCGAAAGACCUAUUAUUGUAGUAUCUUGAUUGAAGAAGUUGGCCAUCUCCCCAUAAGGAUUUCGUAGGAUUUACUCUCUAGUUGUUCCUUAUGGAUUUUUGUGUUCCCGAAGACCGACCUUUUACUUGAUGUUCUAGAUAUCAAAUCAUAUCUAUGAAUGGGUUACACUAGCACAUCAAGGAGAACAUUAGAAGCGGAGUGCUAAAUGUCUCUCGGUCGAUCGUCCAGAUUUUGUCCCCUUGUUCUCGCUAAGGUGAAAUCUGAGAAAGUGUUAUCUUCCUUUGCAUCUGCAUCAUCCAUCACUAUUCUUCAUGGUAGUAUGUUGUGUUGCCAGGAUCCUUGACACGGAUGUUGAUAAAACCUUGAUGAAUAUGGAAAUGCUCAAGUUCUGGAGAGCACGCGCAAGCAAAAUCAUCCCUUGCGUUGUCUCCAAUAAGGUAAUCCACAUCAUCCAUUCUAACCCGGGUUUGCCAUUCUACCGAACCCCUCCAAAUAAUCGAUUGUGAUUUGCCUUAAGAUGGUAUAAAGAGUUUCAAUGAUCCUUGACUCAAAGGUAGUUCUUUUUGCCACCUAAGGGGUUAUAUCUACGAGUCACCAUCCCUAAGAUGCCCCGUUAUGGUAUCAUGGCAAUUCAACUCCUUGCUAUGUUGACAACCGUUCACCACCCUCUUAGGUGUGGAGUUGUUGUCUACCUAGUGAACCCUCAUCAUCUGUUCCACUCCAUCCCUCUAGAUGUGUGCUUCGUGUCUCAAUCUGAGAGAUGGUUCUAUGGCUCAUUCCGUGAGUUAAUCUUGAGUUGUUCGAUCUUCGAGAAGAUCGAUCCUUCUAGAGUCUCCUUCUUCUCUUCUUGUCAUGUCAGCUGGAGUUCUCAGAACAAGACGGCAAUACAGAGAUGAUGAUCGAAUCAAGGUUCUUAUGAAGUGCACCCUGGAUCGUGAAGAUUAUACUAGUUUGUGUUCCCCCUUCAUCUUACCCUACGCUUGAAUCUCUGUAACAUCCCAAAAUUCUAAAUUUUGGAAUGUUAUAUUAAAUAAAUAACUAUGCUUGAUUGUCUGAUUGUUGGUUUGAUGGAUUGAGUGAAACUGAGUGAAAUUUGAAACUUUUGAAAGUUGAAUGAGAGGGAAUGAAAUGACUUUCCCAAAACUUUCCCCUUUUGCCUUUUGAUCUCAAUGGAUUCAAAUUCAUACCAACACCAAAGCCUAGAGUGAGGAUGACAUGACUUCCUUCAUUUUUAAAUGAAUAGGGUUUUGGAAAAAAAAGAUUUGAAUUUCAUUUGGGAAGAUUUCAAAUUCAAAGCUUUAUGCAACUCAAUGAUAUUCAUGAGGGAAGAUAAGAUGACUUCUUCAAUUAUGUGAAAUAGGAGUUGGAAGUUAUAAAGAAUCAAGUUGAAAAUCAUUUGAAAGUGCUUUGAAACCCUCUUUCAAAUUUUGAGUUUUGAAUUUGAAUUUCAAACUUUGGCAUGUGGGAAACAUUUCAAAAAAAAACUAUGCCUGAUAAAUACUUGAUCAAAAGUAUGAGAGGAGCAAACAUGACACUCCAAAAAUAUCAGAGGAAACAAUGCCAAAAGAUUUGGAUUCAAAUCUGAAAUUUAUUUGAAUUUGAAAAAAAAUAGAUUUUUAUGAAGUUUGGAUUUUGCCUUUGGAAAAAUGUUCAAAUGAAAGGGAAUUUUUCCCCUGAUCAUUUGGGUAUAUAUAUACCCUAUAUAAAAUAUUUAUAGAUUUGGUGUUAUUUUUGUUUUAGUUUUAUAAAAAAAAUAAAAGAAAACCCCCAGGGGCGCCAGCCAGGCCACCCCAGGCCCAGCCAGCGCCGCACCCCUCCCCUCCCCGCCUGGCCCAAGCCAGCCGGCCCACUCGGCCAACAGGUCAGCCGAGCCAGGCCAGCCCAGCUCCACCCGACCCCCUCGCCCCUCUCUCCCUCUCGCUGACCCGUGGGCCCCGCCCCUCUCCUUCCCCCCUCGCCCACGCCACCGACCUCGCCGGAGAUCGACCGGAUCCCAAAGGAUCCGGGAUCCCCCGACCGCCCCCGAUGCCCUUCCGAAGUGAAGCCGAGGCCCUGGCUAUAAAGAGCCGAGCCNNNNNNNNNNNNNNNNNNNNNNNNNNNNNNNNNNNNNNNNNNNNNNNNNNNNNNNNNNNNNNNNNNNNNNNNNNNNNNNNNNNNNNNNNNNNNNNNNNNNNNNNNNNNNNNNNNNNNNNNNNNNNNNNNNNNNNNNNNNNNNNNNNNNNNNNNNNNNNNNNNNNNNNNNNNNNNNNNNNNNNNNNNNNNNNNNNNNNNNNNNNNNNNNNNNNNNNNNNNNNNNNNNNNNNNNNNNNNNNNNNNNNNNNNNNNNNNNNNNNNNNNNNNNNNNNNNNNNNNNNNNNNNNNNNNNNNNNNNNNNNNNNNNNNNNNNNNNNNNNNNNNNNNNNNNNNNNNNNNNNNNNNNNNNNNNNNNNNNNNNNNNNNNNNNNNNNNNNNNNNNNNNNNNNNNNNNNNNNNNNNNNNNNNNNNNNNNNNNNNNNNNNNNNNNNNNNNNNNNNNNNNNNNNNNNNNNNNNNNNNNNNNNNNNNNNNNNNNNNNNNNNNNNNNNNNNNNNNNNNNNNNNNNNNNNNNNNNNNNNNNNNNNNNNNNNNNNNNNNNNNNNNNNNNNNNNNNNNNNNNNNNNNNNNNNNNNNNNNNNNNNNNNNNNNNNNNNNNNNNNNNNNNNNNNNNNNNNNNNNNNNNNNNNNNNNNNNNNNNNNNNNNNNNNNNNNNNNNNNNNNNNNNNNNNNNNNNNNNNNNNNNNNNNNNNNNNNNNNNNNNNNNNNNNNNNNNNNNNNNNNNNNNNNNNNNNNNNNNNNNNNNNNNNNNNNNNNNNNNNNNNNNNNNNNNNNNNNNNNNNNNNNNNNNNNNNNNNNNNNNNNNNNNNNNNNNNNNNAAUAGUUUCUGUUUUCAAAAAUGUAUAUCUUUUAUUCUGUUUAAUAUUUUUGAGUGAUUCUUUUUUUGUUGGAUUGCAAAUUUUAUGUAGUUUCUGUAAAAUAUAUAUUUAGCUAUGUCAAAAAUAAUUAAAAUUGCUUUAUUUUAGUUUUAGUCAGAAUAGUAAAUCUGCUAUAACUUUAGUUAACAAAAAAAUUAUUUUUGCAUGAUUCUUUUUGUCAUCACUUUAUUUUGACAUUGCCAAACCCUAGAAAUUAACUUGGGUAUUUUAGGAUUAAUAAAUAAUUAGUUUUAGACAGAAUCCUAUUAAUCCUAAUUAAUUAACUAGUUCCUGUUUUCCUAAUUAAUUAAUUAGUAAAUUAAUUUAUUUUUAACUUGUGAUUAGUUAUUCUAGGUUAGUUUCUGUCAUUCUAGUAGAUGAACUUUUAUUUAUAACUAAUAAAAGUUUUAAAUUUUUUUUUCUUAAUAGAAAUUGGAUUAGGCCUAAAAUGAGUUUUAUAAUAGCUUUUAAUUAAUUCUUUUUGCUCCUAGUUGCUUAGUGAAACCUUUUCUGUUAAGUUAACCUAAAACCAUGAUUAGGUUAUAUUAAGAAAUUUUUAUUAUAUAAAACUAUUUUUGUUAUUGUUUGAAGUAGGGAAAACUUUGAGUGGCCUUUAUUUGAGUUUUUCUUUUGGAUUUGAGUUUUGGUUGUUUGUUGUGUUAUGUUUCUUUUGUUAUGUUGUGUUAUGUGAUCCUAUUGCUAUGUGCUUAUUAUAGUUAUUGUUUGCCUCGGUAGAAUUUCCGGAGUGCGAAGAUUGCUACUACGAAACCCUAGUUUUUUUUUCGAAGAUCGUCAACCAGGCAAGUUCACUUUGACCAUGCUUUUCUUACCUCUGUUUUAUUGCAUUUAGUGGCACCAUUGCAACCACCCCUCAGUAGUGUUAUUGAAAUUCUUGUAGUUGAGUAGUAUGCAUGAGGUAGGAACCCAUCACCCUGUUACCAAGCCCGGGACGUUAUUUAUUUUUAUGCUACGCUAUAGUAGACGGGGUUUGGUAUGAGUGCUCGGGAGUGAUGUGAGAAGGGAGGAUUCUACGUCAAUGACGACAACACCAUGAUGGAAUCUGCAAGGACUGCCUCUUCAAGACCUCAAGACUUCAAGACUCGAGACAGGAUUUCAAUACACACUACUGGGUGAAGGACGGUUGACGGGCACCCUGGAGAACCCAGUGGUUGGCCGGGAUGCAUGGAGAAGCGCCAUGACAUCUUGCGGAAAGCUUCACCCAGACUCAAAGAGACGGAAGAAUACUUCACGCCCGGAAGCUUACCUGUGCAACCGCAAGUCAUUAUGGGCUCUGGCUUGGUUGACCUUAGUUGUGACUCUGGCUGGGACGGUACUAGCAGAUGUAGAACUAUGGUAGGACGGAUGGGUACCGGACAGUGGUCAGAGGAACUCUUUGGAAGACCAUGUUUCGGUCAUCUUGUUCUCAAACACCCUGAAGUGCGAGAACGUAAAGAGAGGGAUCGAAUCUUGCGGGUAAAGUGUACAAACCUCUGCAGAGGGUUAUAACCUAAUCGAUUAGCCGUGUCCCCGGUUACGGACAAUUUGAGCCUCUGGACUUGGAUCUAUCUCGGAACUCUCAACACCGGACUGAUAACUUAAUUGUGGGCAACUUAUGAUGAUUUUGGGCUAUGAGACAUCGGUUGGCGGAACCAUGUCAUGAUAGAAAACUCCAUAGUACAGACUUCAUUUAUUCCUUUGAUGUAGGGAAAACAAAUCAGCUUUUACGCAAACAAAAUUCAGAUACAGAGCCACAAAGCCAUAAUGCAUAUAGUAUAGUUUUAUCAUUUGUUCUUUUUAUUGUGAUCUUGCCGGUACAUUCAAUGUACUGACCUACACGGCUGCAACGUAUCAUGUUGCAGAUAUUUCCUCGACAAGUAAGAAUUUCGAUACAGGGUUACGGUCUACACUCAACCUGCCGAUGGCGUUGAUGGGACUCCACACCCGUUUGAUUGUUUCCGCUGAGUAUUAUGAGGUAUAUAUCAUUUUACGUUAUUUAUACAUGUGAUUGCACUUUGAUAUAUACAUUGAUGUACUGUGUGUGCCAGCAUACUGAUCCAGGGAUGGCACAGUAACACAGAGGCUUGACCGUCUGAGGUCGGGUCGCUACAAUCUCGGGACGAGAUUUUUGUUUAGUGGGGGUGAGUUGUCACAUCCCUAGUUUUGAUAAUGCCAAGUGCUAGUAUCUGGUGUUGCAUCAUGUUUAAAUUCAAGGAAUUUGAACUGAGGAAAUUAGAAAGCCUCAAAACUUUUUAAAAGAAGGGCAAGAACCCUUUAAAUUAAAUUCAGUGAUUCCAAAAUUCCCUAAAAAUCAUUCUGGUAAUUUUGGCAAGAGAUAUAUACCAGACCAAAAUUCUGGAACAUUUUUAUGGAAUAUUUUGGAACAUUGAAUUUAAAUCAUAUUGUAUUUGGAUUUGAAGUUAUAUUCAUAAUAUAUAAUGAUUAUAGUUUCAAAAAGCCUGUGAUAUUUUAUGUAUAUGUGGAGAAGUCCAUUAUGUGACAUAAAAAUAUCCAAGGGAAUUUUGGCACUGUUUUCAAGUUGUUUAAAUUUGAAUUCAGUGGCAAAAGAAAUAUUAAAGAAAACAAAACAAAAAAAUAUAAAACAGAGCAGAAGAACUUACCUCGCAGCCCACCUGGCCCAACUCCAGCGGCCCUGCCCACCGCAGCCUCCACCGGGCAGGAGGGCGUGUGGCCACCGCGCGCCGGCACGCGCCCGAGCCACCUCCUGCUUCCGCCGCUUCUGGAGCCAGCCCCGAGUGCCACGCACUCCCCCUCGCCCCCCCUGCACCUCUCCCUUCUCCCCCUGGACCCCAUCCUCUCCUCUGCUCUCUCUCCCUCUCUGCCCGAGCGGAGCUCGUCGCCACCGACGCUGUUACCGCGGCCACAACCACCCCCUCUCCCCUCUGACGUGCCCAAGAGCCCCGAGACAUCGUCCUCGUCCUCUGCAUGGAUCCGAGCAGCGCUGGAUGCCCCGCUCCGCCGACAACAGGCUCGACUUCGUCCUCGACCGCCGCCGAUGGUCGCCGUCGAUUCUCCGUCACCCGUGCGCCCCCGAGCUCGUCUAUGACCCCUUCUGAUGCGCUGUGAGAUUCUACGCCUUUCCCCCUCCUCCCUGAUCUCGUUCCUGUCCUCUAGCUAUGCCCGCCGCCGUACCCGAGUGCCGCCGUCCGCCAUGGUCGUUGCUCUCGCAGCCACCGUGCAUCUCCGCUCGAGCUUGAGCCUUCGUCGUGAUCCUGAAGCAAUGACGAGUCCAACGCAGCCCCUAGCUAGCUCCCCCAUGCACUGGAACCAAGCGGCCGCCCAUGCCCGAACUCCGGGCACCGCAUCACUGGACGCCGUGCUCAACUCCGGCCAACCCCGCCUCCGUUGUUUGCUCCAUCGGAUCCGCGUCACUUCCCGGAGCACGUAGGUGCAAGUGGCUCUUCAAACCGGGCCCCGUAGCGAAAGUCCGACGGCCUCCGCUGCGGAUUUGGUCGCCGGCGUUUACACGCCGGUGGUGAUGACGUGGCACCAUCAUUAGGGCUUAAUUGCAUUUAGUUUAAUCACACUAGCCACUGACAUCUGGGCCCCACCAGCUAAAUAACCUCGGGUUAUUUUCUUAACUAGAUUUAGUUAAAACCUGUGGGCCCACGUGUCAGCUUUGACCAUGCUGACAUGGCCUUUGACUAGGCCCACCCGUCAGUGACCCAAGCCAGCACUAUGACACUGACCAGUGGGACCCACUGGUCAGGUUUGGCCGGAUCAGGUUGACCCUGUUGACCCUGUGACAUCACACUGAUGUCAGGCUGACGCAGUAAAUAUUUUCUGGGAUUUAAAUAAAUCAGAAAUGAUUUAUAAAUUCCAAAAAAUGUUUAAAACUUGUAAAAAUCAUAGGAAUUCAACCGUAACUCCAAAUUAAAUAAUUUAUAUAUGAAAAAUGAUCAUAAAAAUCCAAACUAUCCAUCUGUACCAUUUUCAUGCAUGUUAGAACAACUUAUGAUUACUGUUUAGGACAACUCAAUUAAAUGGCAUUUAAAUAACCACAUGUGGAGUUUGAAUUUGAAUCUUGGAUUCAAACCAACUCCAUUUAACCUACUGCUAGAUGCAUUAGCUCAAAUCAUAGCAUAUUGCCAUGUCAUGAUCAUGCAUCAUAUUGUGCAUUGCAUUGAUUGUGUUUCUUCCUUGUUUGUCGGUGUUUGUCCCCUCUCGAUAGACGUGGUUCCGACGAUGAGUUCGAUGACACCAAUGAAGAACUAUAUUAUCUUCAGAAGUGCCAGGCAAGAAAAACCCCCUUGUUCAUUCCGAUACAGUCCCACUCUCUCGCUUCUGCUCUCUUUUACUGCAUUAGGACAACAACGACAUAUCUGUUACAUGUUGCGGUAGCUGAACCCCUUUAUCCUUUGCAUGACCUGUCAUUGCCACAGUAAAUAGAUGAAACCCACUAGUAUGAGUAGGAGUUGUUUGAGCCCUGAUGUGCCUACUCAUUCGUGCUUGUUUGUCAUGCCUGCUACUGCUUAGAGUUGAGUCAGGUCUGAUUCAUCGGGGAUGAAUUGGAGGUGUGUAAACAUGUCCUACUGUGUGUGAGCUAAGUGUGUGAACACGAUUUGGUAAAGGUAGCGGUGAGAGGCCAUGUAGGAGUACAUGGUGGGUUGUCUCAUUGAAGCCGUCCUUAGGAACUGAGUUCUGUGUUUGUGAUCCAUGAACAGUUACUACCACACAUUGGGCUCCGGGCACUCCAAGCUCUCUCGACUUAUUAAUCAACUUGAUCUCUGUCCAGGAGUUGCAACUAGUUUCUGGUGUUUGUAGGUAGUGUUAGUAGUCUACCAAGUGGCACCCGGUACAGGUGGGCUUGGGACAGACUAGGCACAGUGGCCUGGUGUACCAAGUGGCACCCGGAUGGUGGGCUUGGGAACCCUGCACACAUCGUUUGGGGCCGUGAGUGACACCCCGGCCGGAUCUCCUUGCGGAUGGAACCCGAAUAGGCGAUAAACCUGGACGAGAGACUUGUGUGGUUAGUCAGGUCGUGGCCGACACCCUCGCUGGGCUUCCGCUUGAAGGUUGCCGAGUACAUGUCGUGUAAACGGCGGUAAGUGGUGAGAGCGUGUGUGAAGAAGUACACCCCUGCAGGGUUAUAUGAUCUAUUCGAAUAGCCGUGUCCGCGGUAAAGGACUUCUGGGUUGCCGGUACAGUUCAUAGACAAGUGAAAGUGGAUACUCUAAAAUGCGCAAGAUAAGCGUGAGUGCUAUGGAUGGCGUUCUCGUAGGGAGACGGGAGCGGAUCCAUAGUGGUGUAUUGAUAUGGUGAAUAUGUGGACUCGUGUGCGCCACCUCAAAAGAGUUACUUCCAGUCGUAGUUCAGGAUAGCCACCGAGUCAAAGCUGGCUUGCUGCAGUCAAACUCCACCACCCCCUUUGUUGAUAAUGAUGCAUAUGUAGUUAGUUCUGAUGUAAGUCUUGCUGGGUACAUUUGUACUCACGUUGCUUAAUCUAUGUUUUGCAGAGAGACUUCAGUCUCGCUAGUAGUACCGCGUGGACUUCGACGUUUAGCUUGUUACCUCAGCUACGAUCUUGUGCCCUCGGCAGGAUCUGAUAGACAGUCAGGCUUCUCUGCCUUUUUCAUUUGUAGAUGUCUGUACUCAGACAUGUUAAGCUUCCGCUUGUGCUUGACUUGUGUGCUCUGAAUGCUGGGUCAUGAGACCCAUGUUUGUAAUAUCUCGCUUCUCGGAGCCUAUUGAAUAAAUACUUGAGUUGUAGAGUCAUGCUGUGAUGCCAUGUUGUAUUUGCACAUAUCGAGCAUAUUGUGUGUAUGAUAUUGAAAUGCUUGGUAUGUGUGGGAUCUGACUAUCUAGUUGUUUAUCCUUAGUAGCCUCUCUUAUCGGGAAAUGUCUCCUAGUGUUUCCACUGAGCCAGGGUAGCUUGCUACUGCUCCGGAACACUUAGGCUGGCCGGCAUGUGUCCUUCUUCAUUCCUGUGUCUGUCCCCUCGGGGAAAUGUCACGCGAUGAAUUCCGGAGUCCUGUUAGCCCGCUACAGCCCGGUUCACCGGAGUCCUGCUAGCCCAGUGCUACAACCUGGAUUCACUCGCUGAUGACCGACACGUUCGAUGCUGGGUCAUGGAUGCCUGUCCCUAUAAGUUUGUGCCACUUUGGGUUUACGACUAGCCAUGUCAGCCCGGGCUCCUUAUCAUAUGGAUGCUAGCGACACUAUCAUAUACGUGUGCCAAAAGGCACAAACGGUCCCGGGCAAAGGUAAGGCAACACCCGUGGGGAUACCAUGCGUGAGGCCGCAAAGUGAUAUGAGGUGUUACAUGCUAGAUCGAUGUGGCAUUGAGUCGGGGUCCUGACAAAGAUACUUGAGUGAGAUGAAAAGAAGUAACCAGGGGGCUUGCUAAAGAAGUGAGAGGACCUUCUUGUGAAGAAAGAAGAGAAGGAGGAGGGCUAAUGUGUAAAGUUUGCAGAUCAGGGAUGGAAUCAAAAUCCCUAGAUCGGCUCCAUUCCCCAUCGGGCCUGGCCAAAUCUUCAUCUCUCUCCCCUUCACCCCUCCCAUCCACCUCUCCUGCUGCUUCCCCUUGCUACUCACGCCCUGGACCAGCCAUUGGGGUCGCCGGCGUCUGAUCCCCCGCGUGCCUCCAACUGCUGCUGCUUUCCUCCUCGUCCCUACUGCUGCUACUCCACUUCCUCUGCUCCCCUUCUUCUUCUCUGAAUCUCGCUCCUGCUGCUCUUCUUGUCUCUUCACCCGCUGCUUCUCUGAACCUGUUGCUGAUCCCCACGCCGUUGCUUCUCUUCUUCUCUUCCCUUACCUCUGCUGCUGCUCUUGCUUCUUCUUCUUCCCCAUGAACCUCCUGCAUCUUCCUUCUUCUCCUCGACCCCCUGCUGCUGCCUCCUCUUCUCCAAGUCCAGCUGCUGCUCCUUCCUUGCUGCGCCCUGCGGCUUCUUCUUUCAACUGCCACUACUACUCCCUUUCCCUCACUGCUACUCUUCUUCCUUACCUCCUCUGCUGCUAUAUCUCUUCCCCCCUCUCUAUAUUCUCUGAAUUUUCUGUAAUAGGAGUAGUAAGAAGCUUUGUAAUAUUCAGAUUAUCUAAGUGCCUGUAACCUGCUAUAUGUUCAGUUCGUACUUGUCAUCUGUUAAUUAGUAUUCUGCUACUGUAUGUGUGAGAUCCCUUAUGUGUUUGUUCCUUUCUGCAGAAAUUGAUUCAGUUUUCCAUGUUUUAGCUCCAGUACAUGUACUAUAUAAAUACAUGUGUGUUUUGUGAUGUAAACCAUGUCAGCUAGUUCACUAUAACAAAUUCAUGUUACUACUUGUGAUUUUAUUUUCUGUUGAGAUUGAUCUUUGUGAAGUCAGAUGUGAGAUUGUGUUUGAUCUCUAGUUAAUAUAUUAGCUAGGUACCUGUGAUAUAAAUGCCUCUUUCUUCUCUUAUAUAUGUCUGCUAGAUAUAUUUGUGAUCAUCUGUUGUUUCUUUCUUUUUGUCGAUGAUGAUGUCCUAUGUCAGCAUUUAGUUUCUAAAAUAAUAUGAAAAUACCAAAAAGAAUGUGAGUUCGAAUCUUAAUCUCUCUGUGCUAUUUGCAUUUUCUUUGUGAUAGACCUUCGGGAACAACCUUGUUUAGUUUAGGUUUAUUUUCUUGCAACCAUUAUAUGAAUUUUGUUACCUAGCUUUAGCCGAAUAUAGUUGUCGUCGCCUAGUCCCUGUGGAGAAUGCAACACUCGCAGUUCGGGCGAAAUAUCCCGCUAUACUUUCAAAUGAUCAUUUUGGCGCCGUUGCCGGGGAUCGAACCCGGGUCACCCAUUCUUGCCAUGAUUGAUUGAAUAUUGCUUGAUAAUCAUAAAAAAAGAUAAUUUACUAGUCUUUGGUCUAUCUUGCAGAAAUGUGCGCAAAUGCACCAAUAAUCGUCAAGAUUUUGUCUAGGUGGUUAUCGAGAAGAGUGAAGAAAAGAAGAGAAGGGAGAAGAUACUUGAGUGAGAUGAAAAGAAGUAACCAGGGGGCUUGCUAAAGAAGUGAGAGGACCUUCUUGUGAAGAAAGAAGAGAAGGAGGAGGGCUAAUGUGUAAAGUUUGCAGAUCAGGGAGGGGAUCAAAAUCCCU